rnacentral:rRNA from 1 species
GACGGAGGGUGCUAGCGUUGUUCGGAAUUACUGGGCGUAAAGGGCGCGUAGGCGGCCGUUUGCGUCGGAUGUGAAAGCCCGGGGCUCAACCCCGGAACGGCAUUCGAUACGGGACGGCUGGAGACCGGGAGAGGAGGGUGGAAUAGCCAGUGUAGAGGUGAAAUUCGUAGAUAUUGGCUGGAACACCGGUGGCGAAAGCGGCUCUCUGGCCCGGUUCUGACGCUGAGGCGCGAAAGCGUGGGGAGCAAACAGG